rnacentral:rRNA from 1 species
CUAUGCGCCUUGCCAGCCGCUCAGUCAGAGUUUGAUCCUGGCUCAGGACGAACGCUGGCGGCGUGCCUAAUACAUGCAAGUCGGGCGGAGCCCGAGGGGAGCUUGCUCCUUUUCGGGCUCAGCGGCGGACGGGUGAGUAACACGUGGGUAACCUGCCCGUAAGACCGGGAUAACUCCGGGAAACCGGGGCUAAUACCGGAUAACACCGAGGGCCGCAUGGCUUCCGGUUGAAAGGCGGCCUUUGGCUGCCACUUACGGAUGGGCCCGCGGCGCAUUAGCUAGUUGGCGGGUAACGCCACCAAGGCGACGAUGCGUAGCCGGCCUGAGAGGGUGGACGGCCACACUGGGACUGAGACACGGCCCAG